ACGCUCGACACCUACGGGGGGCAGCAGUGGGGAAUAUUGCACAAUGGGGGAAACCCUGAUGCAGCGACGCCGCGUGAGCGAAGAAGUAUUUCGGUAUGUAAAGCUCUAUCAGCAGGGAAGAAACUGACGGUACCUGACUAAGAAGCACCGGCUAAAUACGUGCCAGCAGCCGUGGAAUCUGAGCGGGCUGGCAAGGC
rnacentral:rRNA from 1 species